GGCUGUUUCCCUAGUAAGGCACGUGGACUGAAAAUCCUCGUGUCGGCGGUUCGAUUCCGCCCCCAGCCA
rnacentral:tRNA from 1 species